ACACAUGCAAGUCGAACGAUGAAGCCCAGCUUGCUGGGUGGAUUAGUGGCGAACGGGUGAGUAACACGUGAGUAACCUGCCCUUGACUCUGGGAUAAGCCUGGGAAACUGGGUCUAAUACCGGAUAGGAACGUCCACCGCAUGGUGGUUGUUGGAAAGAUUUAUCGGUCAUGGAUGGACUCGCGGCCUAUCAGCUUGUUGGUGAGGUAAUGGCUCACCAAGGCGACGACGGGUAGCCGGCCUGAGAGGGUGACCGGCCACACUGGGACUGAGACACGGCCCAGACUCCUACGGGAGGCAGCAGUGGGGAUUAUUGCACAAUGGGCGAAAGCCUGAUGCAGCGACGCCGCGUGAGGGAUGACGGCCUUCGGGUUGUAAACCUCUUUCAGUAGGGAAGAAGCGAAAGUGACGGUACCUGCAGAAGAAGCACCGGCUAACUACGUGCCAGCAGCCGCGGUAAUACGUAGGGUGCGAGCGUUAUCCGGAAUUAUUGGGCGUAAAGAGCUCGUAGGCGGUUUGUCGCGUCUGUCGUGAAAGUCCGGGGCUUAACCCCGGAUCUGCGGUGGGUACGGGCAGACUAGAGUGCAGUAGGGGAGACUGGAAUUCCUGGUGUAGCGGUGGAAUGCGCAGAUAUCAGGAGGAACACCGAUGGCGAAGGCAGGUCUCUGGGCUGUAACUGACGCUGAGGAGCGAAAGCAUGGGGAGCGAACAGGAUUAGAUACCCUGGUAGUCCAUGCCGUAAACGUUGGGCACUAGGUGUGGGGACCAUUCCACGGUUUCCGCGCCGCAGCUAACGCAUUAAGUGCCCCGCCUGGGGAGUACGGCCGCAAGGCUAAAACUCAAAGGAAUUGACGGGG
rnacentral:rRNA from 1 species